UUUAGUGGCACAAACUGUACAUCAAAAAUUCUAAUUUCAUGUUGCUUGCUCCUAUGUCAAAAGCAUUCCUCGCAUCCUAAAGUUUAAAAAAUUUAAAUUGAAAAUUAUCGGAUUAAUCAUGCCCUAAUUCUAGCUCCUUUAGAUAUUUUAUCCUUGGUUCUGUAUUCUAUACCCUUAUCUCCACUUCUCAAGUUGAUGCCUCUUAUGUUAGACACGAAUCACGCUUCACAAGCUCAUAGUUGACAACAACACCAUCACCGGCGCCGGACCAUCCAAACGCAAUGUACCAGACCAUACCAUCAUAACAGAAGGUAUGAUUUUUUUUAUAUUGAUUACAACUAUUGAUCUUGAGUGUGGUUAUUUUUUCACUUUUGAUUUCUCAUCUUUUUUUUACUAUUGUUUACCAGGUGCAAAUAUCAUCCUUCUCUCAAAUGCUCGAUCGUCUCUCAAGUUUUCUUAUUUAAAUUAGUCUUUUUGUAAUCUUCUUUACUCUUCUCUACACUCAUCUCUAUUUUUUUCUUAAAUUGGUAUGUUUGGAAUGAAUUACAAAGGUUGCUAAGGAAUGAAACUGAAAUUAGGAUGUAGAAGCUAUGCUCAAGGAAAGUGCAUAUAAAGUGUUUGUAGAAAUGCAGAAGAGAGAACAGAGGUGAGUAUGAGCACAAUCUUUAUUUAUGUAGUAUCUUUGUAAAUAAAUUUGUUGUUUCUGUCUGUUUAUGAGUUCUCAUUUUUUGUUGUGCAUACAUAACUUAUUUUGCUUUAAAUUUAAUUAGAUUAGAUGUUCAUGUUCUAAAAUAUAGAACAUAAUUAAAUUAGGCUGACUUGAAAUAUAUUGAUUUUGGAAAAGGGGUAUUCUCCCUUCAUGUAUAUAGAGGUGAUUAUGUUCUAAAUGAAUUAGAUUAGUUGUUCACAUACUUUAAUUUUGGAAUUUUUUAUCUUUCCUUAAAUUGAUGUUCUUGUUGAGGAUGAAGCUUUAAACGAAGUUGUUUACUAUCAUAAUCAUGAACUCGAUUAUGAGUAUUAUUGAUAUAUAUAUGUAUGCCAAUCACAUUCGGUUAGUAUAAGUUUUUAAAAAAAUUUCUAAAUUUAUUUAGAUUUUUUUGAUCGUGCAAUCAUAUUUUCCAUGCCAAUGAUAUUUCAGGAUUUAGUGAAGCCCACACCUGAAUGGAAAUUUCUCUAGUAGCUCUUUCCCUUUUGUAUAUAAUCAAUUCAUCAAUUCAUCCAUUUCAUAACACGAAAAGAUGAUUGCAAAAAUGGUUAUGGAAGCCCAAAUCUAUAUUGAGCUAUAUGUAGUGCAUAUUUUUUUUCUUAUGGUUAUGUUUAGAAGGUUUCCACGAACCUGUAAUAGAAUAUAAAGUGAUAUUGUUUAUGAGUUCAGUUGUAGUCGCUUACAAACCAUAACCAUCAUGUAUGAACUCAUUACUUUGGUUUAUUAAUACCAUAUCUACGAAGUACAUGAUUAUGUCACUGUUUUGAAAAAAAAUGUUUUAAAGAUGCCAUCAUUUUGAAAAACAAUGUUGCUGCACAAUUCUAAUUAUAAUAACCUUUGAUUAUGUGAUAUGUCUCUGUUUUGAAAAACAUAUGUUUUGACGAUUGAUAAUACAAUGUUGUUAAAGAAACCAGGAUAUUGUUUCGUAACAUCAAUUGUAAUGGUCCUUUUGACAGUAAAUUGUUAUAGAAAUUUAUGUUGUCAUAUUUGUAGGGAAUACCAUAUAGACACAUAUCGUGAAACAACUACCAAAAACUAUGUUGAUGCGGGAGUUUUGGAAAGGAGAUACUACUAGUAUGUUGUACUUGGGUGUUUGAUUCUUCAAAUCAACUAUAUAUCGGCGGUAAAUGGUUGUAAUUUACUUAUUUUUAGAUUAAUUUGACUAUAGCCUACUAGUUUUAGAUUAUAAUGCCUAUAAUACUUAUUUUUAGAUUAUCAUUUUAUAAUUGCUAGAAUAGUUAAGGUAUCACAAAACUUGUUUUGUUUGGUAGACUUUCUUACAAGUCUAAGUGACUCUACAAACAUACAAGGGACCGAAGGCGAUUAUUGAAGACGUUUGUAUUUUAAAUAUAUUGAGAAUAUUAUUUUUAGACUUAUUUAAGUUUUUUGAAGAUGUUUGUAUUUUAAAUAUAUUGCGAAUAUUAUUUUUUGACAAGUUUGAAUUAAUGUGAUGAUAUUGUGUUUCUAUU
rnacentral:lncRNA from 1 species